AGUUUGAUCCUGGCUCAGGAUGAACGCUGGCGGCGCGCCUAACACAUGCAAGUCGAACGGCACCCCUCUCCGGAGGGAAGCGAGUGGCGAACGGCUGAGUAACACGUGGAGAACCUGCCCCCUCCCCCGGGAUAGCCGCCCGAAAGGACGGGUAAUACCGGAUACCCCCGGGCGCCGCAUGGCGCCCGGGCUAAAGCCCCGACGGGAGGGGAUGGCUCCGCGGCCCAUCAGGUAGACGGCGGGGUGACGGCCCACCGUGCCGACAACGGGUAGCCGGGUUGAGAGACCGACCGGCCAGAUUGGGACUGAGACACGGCCCAGACUCCUACGGGAGGCAGCAGUGGGGAAUCUUGCGCAAUGGGGGGAACCCUGACGCAGCGACGCCGCGUGCGGGACGGAGGCCUUCGGGUCGUAAACCGCUUUCAGCAGGGAAGAGUCAAGACUGUACCUGCAGAAGAAGCCCCGGCUAACUACGUGCCAGCAGCCGCGGUAAUACGUAGGGGGCGAGCGUUAUCCGGAUUCAUUGGGCGUAAAGCGCGCGUAGGCGGCCCGGCAGGCCGGGGGUCGAAGCGGGGGGCUCAACCCCCCGAAGCCCCCGGAACCUCCGCGGCUUGGGUCCGGUAGGGGAGGGUGGAACACCCGGUGUAGCGGUGGAAUGCGCAGAUAUCGGGUGGAACACCGGUGGCGAAGGCGGCCCUCUGGGCCGAGACCGACGCUGAGGCGCGAAAGCUGGGGGAGCGAACAGGAUUAGAUACCCUGGUAGUCCCAGCCGUAAACGAUGGACGCUAGGUGUGGGGGGACGAUCCCCCCGUGCCGCAGCCAACGCAUUAAGCGUCCCGCCUGGGGAGUACGGCCGCAAGGCUAAAACUCAAAGGAAUUGACGGAAGG
rnacentral:rRNA from 1 species